GGAUAAUGUCCUGACAGAAGGUCAGAGGGAUAAUGUCCUGACAGAAGGUUAGAGGGAUAAUGUCCUGACAUAAGUUUAGAGGGAUAAUGUCCUGACAGAAUGUCAGAGGGAUAAUGUCCUGACAGAAGG